GCGCAGCAGUCGCGAAUCCUCCGCAAUGCGGGAAACCGCGACGGGGGACCCGAGUGCCGUGGCAACGCCACGGCUUUCCGGAGUGUAAAAGACUCCGGGAAUAAGGGCUGGGCAAGGCCGGUGGCAGCCGCCGCGGUAAUACCGGCGGCCCGAGUGGUGGCCGCUAUUAUUGGGCCUAAAGCGUCCGUAGCCGGGCCGUAAGUCCCUGGCGAAAUCCCACGGCUCAACCGUGGGGCUUGCUGGGGAUACUGCGGGUCUUGGGACCGGGAGAGGCGGGGGGUA
rnacentral:rRNA from 1 species